rnacentral:tRNA from 1 species
ACAUUGGUGGUUCAGUGGUAGAAUUCUCGCCUGCCGUGUAGGAGACUUGGGUUCGAUUCCUGGCCAAUACA